GCAAAGCCCCCAUGACCUCCUCCGCCCUAAUGCGUCUGCAGUACCCAAUGUCUCUAUGUUGCUCUGAAUGCCCUAACUCCCUUAGCUCUAUUUUUCGCUCCCCCUCCUUAUUAAGUAAGUCUCGGUAGUAUGCCUUCCACCUCUGCUUGGCUUGAGACUCCCCCAUCAGAACUCUACCAUCCUCGCCCUUGAUGCACCUAACUUGGUCAAGAUCACGCGCCUUCCUUUCCCUUGCUUUAGCUAACCGGA
rnacentral:lncRNA from 1 species